rnacentral:misc_RNA from 1 species
GAAAUGCGAUAAGUAAUGUGAAUUGCAGAAUUCAGUGAAUCAUCGAAUCUUUGAACGCACCUUGCGCCCUUUGGCCAUUCCGAAGGGCAUGCCUGUUUGAGUAUCAUGAACACCUCAACUCUUCAUGGUUUUCCUUGAUGAGCUUGGACUUUGGGGGUCUUGCUGGCCAGUGGUCGGCUCCCCUCAAAUGAAUCAGCUUGCCAGUGUUUGGUGGCAUCACGGGUGUGAUAACUAUCUACACUUGUGGUUUUCCACCAAGUAACCUUCAGCAAUGGGGGUUCACUGGAGCUCACAAAUGUCUCUCGUCAGUGGGGGACAGCCCUUUUGAACGUUUGAUCUCAAAUCAGGUAGGACUACCCGCUGAACUUAA